rnacentral:tRNA from 4 species
GCCGGGAUAGCUCAGUUGGUAGAGCAGGGGACUGAAAAUCCCCGUGUCGGCGGUUCAAAUCCGCCUCCUGGCA